GAAGGAGGUCACGUAAGGGAGGCAGAAGGCGCAGAAGGAGGUCACGUAAAGGAGGCAGAAGGCGCAGAAGGAGGUCACGUAAAGGAGGCAGAAGGCGCAGAAGGAGGUCACGUAAAGGAGGCAGAAGGCGCAGAAGGAGGUCACGUAAAGGAGGCAGAAGGCGCAGAAGGAGGUCACGUAAAGGAGGCAGAAGGCGCAGAAGGAGGUCACGGAAAGGAGGCAGAAGGCGCAGAAGGAGGUCACGUAAAGGAGGCAGAAGGCGCAGAAGGAGGUCACGUAAAGGAGGCAGAAGGCGCAGAAGGAGGUCACGUAAAGGAGGCAGAAGGCGCAGAAGGAGGUC